ACUUUCUUCCCUAAGUCUUACUCUUCCUACUAGCGGUGGUAGGUGCCACAUGUGGCACUUACAUUGGUGGCAAUACGGGUGCCACUUUAAGUGGCUUUCCUCAAAAGGCUAAAAGGUACAAUGGGCAUUCAUUGGUAAACGGCAAUGCUUUUCCUUAUAUCAAUAAAGUUAAUUUCUUCUCAAUGCUUGAGCUAUUUAUAUUUUGCCAAUGAUAAUCUUUUCUUUUUGUAUAUGAAGAAAAAAAGUUCUAGGGAUGAAAAACAACAAGAAAAGCCUUCAUCUAUUCUCAGUCGCACUGAGAAUGCUAUUACUCCGCGUGCUUCCCUAAAUCCCACUCCUCCUACUAGUGGAGCAGUGGUAGGUACCGCAAGUGUCACUCACAUUAGUAGCAAUGCGAGGGCCACUUUAUGUGGCAUUCCUCGAAAUGUUACAGUCGCUCCUAGUCUCUUGCAGAAGUGUUCAUAUAACAUGUUCGGUGGAGGAAGCAGUAUUUUGCAGCCAAGCAAUAUUCAGCUACUAAAUGUGUCGCAUCCUCUUAACUUUCCUUAGAAUAGAGAGUACUUAGUGCGUAGUGGAAAAGACAUUCAUUCACCUAAAUCCUUCGUUGGGUAUAAGCGCUCCCAACUAAGCCACAAUAGAGAAGGUGCAUAUAAUGAAUCUGUUGAUGUUCAACCACUAAAAGAGGUUGUCAAGGAAAAAGCAAAAAAACAAGUUGCAUCGCAAGGAAAAGAGGAGGCUGUCGCAGAUUCAAGUCCAACCAGACGCAAUGACGUGAACGUUCCUGAUUUGAAAUUGGUAGACAAUGGGAAGAAGUACUGUAUGCCAGAUAUCAACUUCCGCCCACCAGAGGAUGAUUGAUCAAAACAUGAUAGAACGAGUGUUUUGUAUUUUUGUAAACAAUAAACAUUAAGUAUUUGGUGUUAAUGGUGAUUGCAAUAAGUACUCUUAAUUUUUUUAAUUAGGCAACAUAUUGCGAGAGUUUCAAUUUUUUGUACAUUUUUAUUUUAUGCAUAUUUUGCGUGUUUCAUUUCUCUCUUCUUAUUUUUUCUGUUAUAGUAGUCCUUUUUAAUUAUAUCUUUUUGUUUCAGUUUUUCGUUAGUUUAUAAAUUUAUAUGACAAUAAUUACAAUAGAUACAAAAAAAUCAAUAUUUAUUAGACAAUGUUUACAGUGCAAAGCUUGUGUAAAGCAUGUGCAAAGCACAUGGCAAGAGUACAGAAGAUUAGAUGAUAGUUUUUGAAAGGGUUAAAGUUUAGAAUUCGUUAGUAGGACUUAACUCUAAAAUACUUUAUUUAAAACCAUAAUGGUGUUCAAUGCUAUGUUUAAAUAUCUUCCUCUAUUAUAUGAUCUUCCCUUUUUUGAAUAUAAAGAACAAAAGCGGUAGUGAUAAAAAAACAACAAAAAGAAAUCCAUCACCUAUUCUCAACAGCCUUGAAAAUAUUAUUGCUCCCACUUGCUUCCCCAAGUCCUACUCUUCCUACUAGUGAAAUAGUGGUAGGUGUCACAAGUGGCACUCACAUUGGUAGAAAUACGAGUGCCACUUUAGGUGGCUUUCCUCAAAAUGCUAUAAGGUACAAUGGGCAUCCAUUGGUAAACGACAAUGCUUUUCCUUAUAUCAAUAAAGUUACUUUCUUCCGAAUGCUUGAGCUAUUUAUAUUUUGCCUAUGAUAAUCUUUUCUUUUUGUAUAUGAAGAAAAAAAGUUCUAGGGAUUAAAAACAACAAGAAAAGCCUUCAUCUAUUCUCAGUCGCACCGAGAAUGUUAUUACUUCAUGUGAUUCCCUAAGUCCCACUCCUCCUACUAGAGGAGCAGUGGUAGGUGACACAGGUGGCACUCACAUUAGUAGCAAUGCGAGGGCCACUUUAGGUGGCAUUUCUUGAUAUGUUACGGCCGCUCCUAGUCUCUUGCAGAAGUGUUCAUAUAACAUGUUCGGUGGAGGAAGCAGUAUUUUGCAGCCAAGCAAUGUUCAGCUGCUAAAUGUGUGGCAUCCUCUUAACAUUCCUUGGAAUAGAGAUUACUUAGUGCGUAGUGGAAAAGACAUUCAUUCACCCAAAUCCUUCAUUGGGUAUAAGCACUCCCAGCUAAGCCACAAUAGAGAAGGUGCAUAUAAUGAAUCUAUUGAUGUUCAACCACUACAAUAGGUUGUCAAGGACAAAGCAAAAAAACAAGUUGCAUCGCAAGGAAAAGAGGAGGUUGUCGCAGAACCAAGUCCAACUAGACGCAAUGAUGUGAACGUUCCUGAUUUGAAAUUGGUAGACAAUAGGAAGAAGUGCCGCGUGCCAGAUCUCAAAUUCCCUCCACCAGAUGAUGAUUGAUUAAAACAUGGUAGAACGAGUGUUUGUAUUUUUGUAAACAAUAAACAUUAAGUAUUUGGUAUUUUUUUCAUCAUACAUGUUAAUGGUGUUGAAUUACUAAACUUAGUUUUAUUCACAUCUCUUGCUUCCUAUGAUUAGGGCAAGGGGACAAACAUUAAUGGUGAUUGCAAUAAGUCCUCUUGAUUUUUUUAAUUAGGCAAUACAUUGCGAG
rnacentral:lncRNA from 1 species